ACGGAAGGCAGCAGUGAGGAAUAUUGGUCAAUGGGCGGAAGCCUGAACCAGCCAAGUCGCGUGAGGGAAGACGGUCCUAUGGAUUGUAAACCUCUUUAGCCAGGGAGCAAUAGACGCCACGAGUGGCGUGACGAGAGUACCUGGAGAAUAAGGAUCGGCUAACUCCGUGCCAGCAGCCGCGGUAAUACGGAGGAUCCGAGCGUUAUCCGGAUUUAUUGGGUUUAAAGGGUGCGCAGGCGGCCUUCUAAGUCAGUGUCAAAUCGUGGCGCUCAACGCCAUCACGCCAUUGAUACUGGAGGGCUUGAUUACGGUCGAGGCAGGCGGAAUUCGCCGUGUAGCGGUGAAAUGCAUAGAUAUGGCGAAGAACUCCGAUUGCGUAGGCAGCUUACCAGGCCGACAAUGACGCUCAUGCACGAAAGUGCGGGGAUCGAACAGGAUUAGAUACCCUGGUA
rnacentral:rRNA from 1 species